rnacentral:rRNA from 1 species
GUUUGAUCAUGGCUCAGAACGAACGCUAGCGGCGUGCCUAACACAUGCAAGUCGCACGAGAAAUCCCGGGCAACUGGGAGAGUAAAGUGGCGAACGGGUGAGUAGCACGUGGGUAAUCUACCCUGAAGUUGGGAAUAACACCUCGAAAGGGGUGCUAAUACCUAAUAACGUCCUCGAGACCCCGGUCUUGAGGAUCAAAGAUGGCUGAGGCUUGCAAGCUAUUGCUUUAGGAUGAGCCCGCGCACCAUUAGCUAGUUGGUGAGGUAAUGGCCCACCAAGGCCGUGAUGGUUAGCUGGUCUGAGAGGAUGGCCAGCCACACUGGAACUGAGAUACGGUCCAGACUCCUACGGGAGGCAGCAGUGAGGAAUCUUGCGCAAUGGGGGCAACCCUGACGCAGCAACGCCGCGCGAGUGAUGAAGGCCUUCGGGUCGUAAAGCUCUGUCAGAUGGGAAGAAAGUUCCGGGCGUGAACAAUUCCCGGGAUUGACGGUACCGUCAAAGGAAGCACCGGCUAACUCCGUGCCAGCAGCCGCGGUAAUACGGAGGGUGCAAGCGUUGUUCGGAAUUAUUGGGCGUAAAGAGCGUGUAGGCGGCCGGGUAAGUCAGAUGUGAAAUCCCUUGGCUUAACCAAGGAAGUGCAUUUGAAACUGCCCGGCUUGAGUACGGGAGGGGGAAGUGGAAUUCCCGGUGUAGAGGUGAAAUUCGUAGAUAUCGGGAGGAACACCGGUGGCGAAGGCGGCUUCCUGGACCGAUACUGACGCUGAGACGCGAAAGCGCGGGGAGCAAACAGGAUUAGAUACCCUGGUAGUCCACGCCGUAAACUUUGGCACUUGGCGUUGCGGGUAUUGACCCCUGCAGUGCCGAAGCUAACGCAUUAAGU